ACGGGUGAAGGAAAGCCCGCCGUGAGCCGGUCGAAGUGGGCUUCGCUGGCCAGAAGCCGCUGAAAAGGCAGCGCGAUGGAAAAUAGAAAAUAAACCUGGACACAAUCGCCCGGGUGAGGGUGAGAGCAUCGCUGACGACGUGUAUUCAAGUACUAUUUGUAUAGUGGGAAUGUGCAUUGUAUGUUUUUGUGCGUAUGUACUUGUUUAUUUGAUUGGUUUGUAGUAUUAUUGAUGUACUUUGUUUUCUUGUUACUUAUAUGCUGGGGUGGGGUGGUUGUAAAAAGCUUGAAAUAAAAGAUAUGAAAAAAAUCAAAGAUAUAGGCACAUAUGCACACACACACACACACACAGACACACACAUUGGCAUUUGUCCCCUUCUUUUUGGUUUCCAUCCAAAAAAGAGUUAUUAGGCCAGGAAGCAUACUUUAAGAGUGAUUUGUGUAGAUCCAUUCAAUAUUGCAAUAUAUGAAGGUCAAAAUCAAUACCGGCUGGGACUGUUGUAAAGAAAGAAAGAAAGAAAGAAAGAAAGAAAUGAGAAACUUCAUCAUUGUGGCAUCCUUUGAUAAAAGAUGACGCCUGGCUUGCAGAAAUGUGAAACACUGUUUAGUUGAUUUAAAAGUAGCAUUCCUUGAUAAGCGUCUACGCUGUAUAGGCCUGUCGCAUUAUCAGUUACACCUGCUUGUUAACUCUGAUCUAAUUAGCCAAUCACAGAGCAGCAUGUCAUGCAUUGUGGCCUUUAAAUGGCUCGCUGAAGUCAGAGAACGUCCAGACUGGUUGGAGCUGACGGAAAGGCAACACGGCAGUCACUCGGAGGUACGUGGUGCUGUUUGUUUUUGUGAAGGUCCAAGACUGGAAGUGGUUUGUAUGUCAAUGGGAAGCCACAGAAAUGUCCAGAACAGGGCUGCAGCAUUGUGAGUGAAGGUUCUCCUUUGGUGGUUUCUCUGAUGGGAGGGGAUUUUGGAAGGAUGACUUUUUUUUAGGAGCUUUAAAGAAAAAGCUCAGGUAAUGGGAUCGGCUCAUCUCAUCAACGACUCCGUGGAAUGAGGUGACAAAGAGCUGGAGCAGAGGGCGUUUACUGACGGUUGGUUUCCAGGUAGGCCUUGGUGCAAGGCCAGAGAAGAGAAGCAUUUACAAACCCAAUUGUUGUGUUCUAAGUCCGACACAGUCACCACCCGAGCUGGGUUCAUCGCGUCCGGUUUUCACCCGACGGCUCACUGCUGCCGUCCUCUUAUGAAGAUCAAACGGAGUAAGCUGGCUUUGGUCCCUCUCUUUCUGCAGUGGUUCUGUUGAGGCAAAGUGAAGAUGGAAGAGGGAAAAGGGUGACGGUCUCGGGUCACACUAGGACGGUGGAACCCUCAUGGCACCUCAUGGCUUGUGGGAGGAAAGCGGUCUCGCACGC